rnacentral:rRNA from 1 species
UGGCGACCGGCGCACGGGUGAGUAACACGUAUCCAACCUGCCGAUGACUCGGGGAUAGCCUUUCGAAAGAAAGAUUAAUACCCGAUGGCAUAGUUCUUCCGCAUGGUAGAACUGUUAAAGAAUUUCGGUCAUCGAUGGGGAUGCGUUCCAUUAGGUUGUUGGCGGGGUAGCGGCCCACCAAGCCUUCGAUGGAUAGGGGUUCUGAGAGGAAGGUCCCCCACAUUGGAACUGAGACACGGUCCAA